UCUCUCUCCUCGUCGCGGUGAGACUCCUGAUUUCCAUCUGAAUCCGCGGGAAAAAGAGAGAUCAAAGUCCUAUGGAAAAUCGAUCGCGUCCAGGUUCUCUGUAGUCGAUUCUCUUCUUUGUUCUCUCUCGUUGGAGUUCUUCAUUGCUUUACAGGUUUUGUGCUGUGUUCCUGUUCAGAAUCAUCCAUGUGGCGGUUUUCUGGCUCGGGGCUCGAUCACUUACUUUCUUUACGAGAGCUUUGCGCUUCCAGGUAAUGUCGUUUUUCCUCAGUUACCUUCUCAUUUCCAAUCAGUACAGAUUACUGCGGUGUUUCUGUUUUUUUUCUUCCAUGGUGGUAAUGAAUGUUUUCUUCCUUUCGUAGUAGAUGAUCUUGAUUUUUGAUCGUUGUGUGUUGUUUUUUUUAACGGAAGUUGAGUUUCUUUGUAUGUAAUGAAUGCAUGGCUGGGAUACUGGCAUCGGAUGAUUCUUAGGUGAACUAUUUAAGACUUAUAUCAUUGUUUAUUUCAGGAUUUUGACGCGAUGUGUAUAAUGUUCUUGCUUAAAUGUUUUAUACUUCACUUGCAUGACGAGCUAUCUGAUUUUCUCACAGAAUGCAGCCUCAGGGAUAUUGCAUCCACGCUAUUUUUUUACGGCUCAUUCAUUUCUAAAAAAAUAAUUUAGCAACCUACAUACUCAAUAUUUUCUCAUUAUCUUAUAAAAUUUUGACGUAAGAUAGGUGGAAUCUCGGGCUGCUGAUGGCUGGCCACCACGUAAAUGAAUGUGAAACCAAAGGUGCCCUUACAAUAUUUAUUUGUUUGAAAUUUUACACUCAUUUGACGUCUAUGCGUUUUCGUGAAUUUGGAACUGGAUGUUAAGACACAAAGUGCACAAUGGAAGGAAUUGUCAUAUAGGAGUGAAUUUCAAGUAGCCUGUUUGUGCUAUUGUCUUUUACCUUUGAUGUUUAGAAGACAAUUGUCUAUGCAGAACUUGUGAUAAGAUUAUAGAAGAUUCAUCAUAUUUGAAAGCCAGCGGAUGAAAUUAUAUGAGUUUGCAGACAUGUUCUGAAAGUAAGUCUGCAUUUUAUAUCUGUAGGAUUUUUAUCAUUAUCUUGUAUGAUUUAAUAUUCCUGUUUAGUUUUGCACUCAAUGCGUACCAUUAGCUAUCUUUUGUUUUGUUAACUGAUCAUAGCAGUAACCUCAUAAGUAAGUUAUUGCCUGCUUGUACCUUAGACACUUCGUUCCAAGUUUUAUGUAAGGAUUUUUUAUAUUUUUUCUAAAUGUUAAAUAUGGACCUUAAUUACCAAUUUUAGGACUCUUGUUAUUUUUUUGUUAAUAUUAUUACUUGUGCUUAUACGAUGGAUGGUUAACAUGCAUAUCAUUUUUUAGUGUGUUCAAUGUCUCUUCUUAUAUUUCUUAAAUUGUUAAUAGCACUGUUUUCAUCAGAUAUAAUCAUUAUCUUUCAGGACCAGUUGUAAUGUGGGAAAUGUAUAUAGUAUUUCUAUACAUUAUACAGGUAUAUAUUUAAAAUAUUUUUGGCUAAUUGAAGAAGUUGGUGGCUGUGACCAUCUGAAUUGACGUUGUAAUGGAGGUAUCUUAUCAAAAGACGAUAUUAGAAGUCAAAGAAUAGAAAAGAACCUUGAGAAGGCAUAAUAUUGUAGAACCCUUCACAGUUCUACGGAUCCAUUUAGUGUUUUCUGGCUUGAAUCCACUACUGUUGAUGUGCUUUUUUGUCUAGGUAGUGUUUGGGCCGCCUUCUUUUGAGCUUUUGAAAUCAAGGACUUUAGUGCUUAUAGUAAGGUCCCAAGGAGUCUUAUUUCUUUUAUCUCUUGAUUUGCAAAUUCAAAUGUGAUUAGGUCUGAGAGUUCUUUUCCUUUAUCUCUUGGUAAUUCCCUGAUUUUUUUACAUUAAUCAUCUAAUGAUUUUAUCCUUCAGUUUCAUAGAUCGAAUCUACCCAGCUUGAUUUAUUUUUAAAAUUUAUGAGUUACUGAUAUCUCUCUAGCAAGGUCAUACCACAUACUAUAAAUGGCAAAUAGAAAUGGCUGUUGAUGCUCUGUUUAUUCUUGUGUAUGUACAGGAAAGUUUAGUGCCUAAAAGAUGCAUUAGCUUGCUGGUAUACAAAAUUUCACCCAGUAACACAUAAAUUUUAGGUUGCGUACCUCUCUUCAAAAGGUAAGGGGUUGAGUAUGUUUAUGAACAAGGGCUUAAGUUUAUAUUGAACCAAUUUAUAAAGAUUGUAUUAAUUUUAGAUGUGGAAAAGGCUUAAAUGUUGUUGCAAGCUAUUAAAUGUGGUUGAUGCUAAAUUCAAAAUUAGAUUCUUGUUGUCUUUGAUAUGUAAUAGCUAUUUUCUUGCUUUUGUAAUAUUCACUCUUUAAUUGGUUUAAGUAAAGCAUGAUUCUAGUUGAAAUAUCUGGCUAAAUGAGGUGUAAGUGAGCCUUUUCUUUUAAUAUUGAAUUCAUGGUUUUUACGCAUGUUACCAGUUAGGUACAUUAGCAGUAGAGCUGUACAUGGUUAUAAUCUGGACCUGUUUGUGAUUCAAGGAGCAAUAUUUAUUUAUUCACUCUGCAUUUUCUUGGGUGGUUUUGUCUAUGUUUUCCUUCCACCUUUUUCUUAUUUACCUGUGGGUCAUAAUUGCUUAUCACUCAUGUUAUUGCUGGUGAUUUCUUUUCUGUGUUAACCCUUACAUUGGGCUAUGGGACAUGGCUGGAUUUAUGAUUUCCACUAUAUUGCAUAUCCUACAUACUUUAUUAUCUGUAAGAAGCCCAAGUUCUUCGUUUAUAUGCUGUAUACUUUUGACUUCUACUUUACUAAUUAGUUUGAAGUUUAUUUCUGGUUAGAAUGAAAUUGUGUAAUAGGUGCAUGUAUAAUCUUGUGCACAAAUGUUUUUGUUUUCUCAGCUUUUACUUUUUAGAUAAGAAACAUCAUGUUUCAAGUAAAAAUUACGACUAAUUGUAGGCAUGAUUGGAUAGAAUACAAAUAUUACAUCCAUAGAGGGAUGAUCAUAUAUGUGUGUAAAUUUUUUUUAACUUCCAACUAGAGAGAAUACAAGUUACAUUUGUUACAGCAUCAAUCCAUAAUACAUAAAAUUCUAUAUCAUCAGAGAUAUCAUCUUUUUUUGCUGAUCCACAUUACAUUUAUUCUUGUAUUUAAAGUGACAAAGUUCUUAAAUAAUUGAAAAUAGUUAUCUUAUGUUUUAUGUUAGUAUUUGACGAUCAUGCCAUAGGAUGUUUAGGAUCGUGAAUGAUAUAUCUGGACAUUUGUUAUUAUCUUGUUUAUCCAGAAGGUUAAAUUUAUUAUAUCUAAUAAUAAUUAUUAAAAAAAUAUGUUUUACUAUAUUCCUUUUGUUAUGAUAUGGUGUCGCAAGUAUGCAAGGGAAGAGGUUAGAUAGAAUGAACAUUCCUUUCCAUUAGGUGUCAUUUGGUUCAUGGAAAAAUGGACCACUCUAGAACUGAGAAUGUAGGUAUGCGAUUAUGAGAAUCAAAUGUUUGAGAAAGAAAGCUAGUAUGUGUUCUUAUGCUUGAAAAGCUGAAGGAAAAAUUAUGGAUUAUAUAACUACUAGUGAUUGCAGGAGAUAUGCAUACUUCAUAAAUUGAUUAUUAGUUUCAAAUGUUAAUGAAACUUCAAACCAUUAUUAUAAAACCACAUAAUAACAACAAAUGUGAUGACGUGAUGCCAUAUCCUCUCUGUGGAAAUCCAGAGGUCCUGUAAGAGGGUUCCACAUUACCAUGAAGCUGAAGGAAUUAGAUUUCUUUUUCUACAAAAACAACUUGUAUGCUAAUAAAAGGAGAAUCCAAACUGAGCAGCGAACACCACCCUAAAGAAGCAAACAUACCCUUAGAGGCGUAACAUAAUUCUGGGAAAAACAUGUAAUAUAUCCUAAUUACAAAAUACAAAGGCAUCAUGGAUUGACAUUUUUCUAUAAUAUUACUGGAAGUUGGGUAUGCCAGGAAGAGAUUACAGAAUGAUUAAAACAUUAGAUUAAAUUAAUCAUAAGCUAACAGCUCAAUUUUUGAGGAUUGGUGAUGAUAAAAGUGAACUGAGAACUUUUGUUUCAGAUUCUUUUACUGGUUUAAAAUUCCGUAGUCUUAUAGCUUCUUUACAUUGCUGAAUCUCAUUCAUUAAUCAUUAUAGUAAAGUUUGGAAACACACGCAAGUGUAAUAUUAGCAAAGGAUGUGAAUGGACCCUCAAAACAGCCAACUUUUUUAGGAUAAAGGACCAGUGGUUGGUUUUGGCAACUCAACAACAGGAUGCCCAGAUUUUAGACAUCUCAUAUGCAAUUCAGUAUCUACCAACUUAGUACCACCUUAUAUAAGAUUGUAUGAACAUUAAUUUUCAUUCAGCUAAUAGGCAUCAGGAGUCUGGUCUAAUUAAUUAACACAACAAACUUUUAAUAACAGCUAGAACAACACAUGGCACAUAUGGUGCAUUGUCAUUAUUUGUAAACUUACAUAGGUAGCUGGUCUGGCUGCUAAAUUUAUCGCAUAUAUAGAGUUUGAAGAACAUUGCAUACCAAAUGUGAGGGAUCUGGUGAUAACGGAAGCAGGAGACACCUUCAUGUUGAACAUGACUCAUACUGUAUGAUGAGUUGUUGAAGAAAUGACCAUGGAUAAAAUAUCCAUGAUCUAACUGCUGUUAUUGCAGUUGCAAUCUGUUGCAAGUUUCAAUUAUAUCUAUUCAGCUUGGGAGAAAAAAUUGUCUAGUACAUAUUGAUACUCAGAUGAAUGUGAUUGCAAUUUAAUUCAUAUGUCAUGAACAUAGAUUGCUAGAACAUACCCCAGCUUUAUCCCUGGUACUGAUGUUUCACUGUUUUGUGGUUGUGGCUGUCUUAGCUGUAGAGCAGGCAUACUGUAUCUAUUGGUGAUAGUGAAUUGUUGAGUUGAGCUACUGCUCGUUUUAUCCACUUCCAUUGGUCCAUAAACCUGAUAUACUUAAAAAACCCACCAUUAAGCUUAUUUAAAAGGAAAUAAAAGUCCGCUUUCAGGACAAUUGAACUCCCGCUGUCGAACUAAAAAAAUCUUAUGACUAAACAAGAGUAGCUUUUGAACAAGUUGUUCACAUUGAAGCAAUUGAAAAGAAGUUUGGAACUCUACCUUCAUUUGCAGUUCUGCAUUUUCCUUGUGAAUCAUAUCUAAUUUCUUGUAUAGUUCCACAUUUUCUUGAUGCAUAUGAUUCCCCUGUAACAUAAUUAUAGCAAGUCAGCUGAUGUUACUGUACUUGACAUAAUGAGAUAACAUGGAUGUUUACAAUGGGGAGAAACCUUCUGUCUUAGUUCCGUAAUUUCAUCCCUUAAAAUCUUUUCCUGCAAGGUAAAUACAAGAAGUAAACAUCUGUAUUCAAGAGGCUUUAUCAGAUUUUGUAGAUCUUUGACACUCAGGCCAGAUAGUUCUUCGCCCAUCAAUUGUCUGCAAAUAUAGAAGCACAAGAUAUAUUAUGAAUUCUUUUGCGUAUUUGUUUGAAGUGUUGGAUUAUAUUACCAUUUCCAAUGGAUCAGGUUUGCAUUCUAUAAUUUUAUCUCGGUAAUUAGCACGUCUUAAUUAUGAUAUAGAUCAUGGAUGGAAACUUAUGGUGUUAGUAAAAUGUUGAGUACACCUUUUAUGAUAAUCAAAUGAUCAGCCUAGUUUUACCAGACCAAGAAUCAUGUGAUGCUUGUCACUCAUACUUGGAAUAUAUUUUUAAGUUCCCGCUUACCUUACAAAGUUAUUGUAGAACAGAAGAUUGUAAAGGGAUUUAGAGCCAUAUAAUAUUUGAUAGGCCAGUGCUUUCAGUUGGAUAUUUUCUCAUGAAGGAAGGUACAAAAAAAGGAUGAAAUAAUAGAGUUUGACCCGAAUUUGAAAUCAACAAAUGGUUUUCUGUAGAGAAAAUGCACGAGGUCAAGCACUGAGGAUGAGCUAAGCCUUUGCAUAAACCAUCGUGGGGGUUUUCUUUGGUAUGCCUCGUCAUAGUUGUAUCAGUAUUCUGUUGAAGCAUACCUAAUUGGCUCUCAUAUAGAAGUCCAGGAAUCCAUCAUACCUGAUUGGUUCUCAUAUAGAAGUCCAGGAAUCAAUAGGAUUACAGUAAUCCAAGAACAUUCUUGAUUUGCAAAUUGCAGUACAAAAUACAAGCUCCUAGCUAUGAACUGCCCAGGAAGUUUGAUAGUCCUGAGCUCUACUCAACUCUUCCCUUACUGUAGAAUUUUCUCCACGCAUCUUAUUGAUGUGUUGCUCCCAACAGAAAAUUAACCACCUAGAUAAAAGACCCUCCUACACCUGUCAACUAAUUUCUUCGUACACUAGUAUGUAAUUGAUUAUUUUUCUUUUCCCUCAAGGAUUGAUUCAUCAUCACUAUGCUCUGAGCCAUUCUUGUACCGAUCAUGCAACUCUUAGGUUAAAUGGUCUCUUACAUAUCUUCUGUGUAUGCAAACAUAAAAUAUAUAUAUUAUGAAUGUUGUAGUCUACAUGUUUGAUCAUUUACUAUUCACACGUCUUUUUGGCAUGUGAUUGUGAUUCAAGCUUAUAACGAAAGUUUCCUACAUGCAAUAUAUAUGUAUAUAUAUAUAUAUAUGAUAGUUUUUUUUAAUGAGAAACUAUUCUUUCAUUGAGGAAAAAUGAUAAGAGGGGAACACAAAAAAAACCCAACCCUCUAAAAGGAGCCAAACUUAAAUGAGCCGAACUUAAAUAACAAGGGGCUUCACUCAACCAAAAUAAAAGCCGAACUUAAAUAACAAGGGGCUUCACUCAACCAAAAUAAAACCUAGAAGAUAACUAUACAAAUAUUUAUACACCAAGCCUAGAAAGAGGUAUGAAACCUAGCAAGGGACAAAACUUCUUCCUAAGAUCUCUUAGUCUCUGUAGAAAUUUUAUUGUUCUUUUGUUCACGUGUGCUCUAUUCCUAGUUGGAAUAACUAUUGAUAUUAUCUAUGUUGAGUUGUCCUUUACUUGAUUCUUUAAAUUGGAAUCAUUUGAACAUGCGUAGUAGAAAGAAAUGUUUAUCCUUUUAGCCCCUAAAUUAACUUGUACAUUUUUCUUGUUCCUCAUAUCUAAUAUUUCUGCACUGGAUUCACAAGAAAAGUUUGGUUUCUUGUGAAUGACCUGUGAAAUAGAGGAACAUAUGGGUUUUGCUCACUACUUGAUAUAAUAAUAGUGACAGGCUGAAAUCUUAAUAGGUACAUUUGAGAAGUUUUCUAAAAAGCAUGUCAAUAUUGUGAAUUCUUUCCGGAACGGAUUAAUUUAGGAUCUCUAUUUCAAGUUCAAUUAAUUUCAUUUGCAAGUUAUUUGAACUCCAAAUUUGGAGACAAAGUAUUUUUUAAGGAAUUUUACUACUUUCUACAUGGGCACUGUUUAGAUUUUUCGUUCAAGUCUACAAUUAGGGAUUGGGGUUCUUCAGUAAUUUUCUGAUGAGAUAUAGCACUGAAAACUAAAAUGUAGCUAUUGUUGAACAUACAUUUGAACGCUUAUGCUCCCUAAACAUUUUUUGGCUGAUCUUUUUUCUCUUGUAUUACAUAUAUAGUACAGCAGGGUUGGAGUACCUGUGACAUUCUUGCAAGUAAUGCAGUUGUUGCUUCAAAGCAGCUGCCUCUCUUUUCCAAAACUAGCAAUUAUAGAACAGAUGAUCAGCAUUGCAGUUUUACUUGUAGCAUGAUGAAUGAAGAUUUUACCUGGAGUUCUGAAACAGAGUUCAUCAGCUGAUUUUGCUCCUCUUUCACCUUGUAGUAACGAUCGGUAAUUGAUCUUAUGCUGAUAAGAUAGAAACUGUUAAUUCAGUUCAUAACCACACCUGAAAUCAAAUCUUGAAUUUUUAAUUUCCAUGUCACCAUCAUAAGGAUUUAUUACGUGAGUUGUGAAUAUAAUCUGCUCAUAGCAUGCUGUAGAGUGAUCGGUUUGUUCGCUAUCUCAUAUAAGCACGUCGAAUUUGGGUGCUUGUCAGUUAUUGAAACUCACCCAAACUCCUAUUUCACAUAAUAUUUCAAAUUAGAAAGAGAAUCUCAAUGCCUUUCUUUCAGAAGCCAUGGAACUUUGUACAAAGACGUUACGAAGAUGGAUCGGUACAAUUUUCCCAACUUAGCUGCAAUUUAUGCCGUAUUUUUUCUGGUAAGGGUUGUGAUCUGUGUUGCUAGAAGGCUAUGAUAGCUUGAUUCUGAUUAUCGUGUUCUUUUAAUAUGACAUAGCAACAAUGCCUAAUAAAUGAUUUUUGUAACUUA